rnacentral:rRNA from 1 species
CCCGGGGGUCGAGCAUAGCCCGUAGAGAUACGGGGUAAUUCUCGAUGACGUCGUGAGACCAAAGGUCCGCCGCCCUCGGAGGGGCCCAUGUGAUAUUAGCUAGUUGGUGGGGUAACGGCCCACCAAGGCGAAGAUGUCUAGCGGGUGUGAGAGCACGACCCGCGCCACUGGCACUGAGACACUGGCCAGACACCUACGGGUGGCUGCAGUCGAGGAUCUUCGGCAAUGGGCGCAAGCCUGACCGAGCGACGCCGCGUGUGCGACGAAGGCCUUCGGGUUGUAAAGCACUGUCGAGGGGGAGGAAGGCGAAAGCUUGACCUAUCCCUGGAGGAAGCACGGGCUAAGUUCGUGCCAGCAGCCGCGGUAAGACGAACCGUGCGAACGUUGUUCGGAAUCACUGGGCUUAAAGGGCGCGUAGGCGGGCCGCCAAGUCCGGGGUGAAAUCCUCCAGCUUAACUGGAGAACUGCCUCGGAUACUGGAGGUCUCGAGGAGGGUAGGGGCAUGCGGAACCGUGGGUGGAGCGGUGAAAUGCGUUGAUAUCCAUGGGAACUCCGGUGGCGAAGGCGGCAUGCUGGACCCUUUCUGACGCUGAGGCGCG